ACAUGAAAGUAUAAACGCAAAGUACAGAUGUAUUUGUUCUACACAAUAGAGAAAUGAAGAGCACAAAUAAUAAAUAUAUCACACAAAACUCCACAUAAAAAAGAAUCUUUUCACAUACAACUAAAAAGUUGCAUGUAUUUUGUGCUUAAGUUAUCCAAAUUCAAAGAAUAAGUGUCAGAAACACAUUUGGGAAGGGGAAAAUCCUUAAGGCUUGAAAGGCAGCUGACAUAAAUCCCCCAACCUUUCUUGUUCUCACAGUGGCUCAGUCAUUGGCUUUUCAUAACCAUAUACUGGGCA
rnacentral:misc_RNA from 1 species